CGAGUAGGGUUUUAGCUAUCGUUCCCGACCGUGCUCUAAACGUCGACGCUCUUCCUCGAUAACAUGGCCACCGCCGCCGCCCGGUCAGUCCUCCGCUCCUCCUCGCUCCGCAGCGCCGCUUCGAGGUUUGCCUCCGGUGCCAGAGCGUCCUCCCGCCCUUCCUUCCUCCGCGUCCGCCCCGCCGCCCCUCGCUUCCUCAGGUCCCCGGUAGAGAUGAGCUUCGCCGUGGAAUCGCUGCUGCCGAAACACAGCGCGACCGCCUCGGCGCUGAUGACUUCGAUGCUCACCGUUUCCCUUAGAGGCUACGGUUGGCUUUCUGAAGGACAAGAUGAAACUAGAUGAAGAUCAAGCCAGAAAGCUGGCAAUGAUGAUGUAUAACAAAUAUCCAGUGGAUUGGGCGAAAUUCUAUACAGAACUCCCAUCAGUCAUAGACAAGGUCUGUGAUUUUUUUCAUCAUGGAGAGCACUUGGAUUGGAGAUUUACCAUACCUCUUUCCUUUCUAUUUUCAUUGCUAGACAUUGGUGUGAUCGGUUGCAAAAAAACAAAAAAAUAGAUAACCUUGUGCAACAAAUGGACCAAUAAUGUAUUCUUAACUUUAAAUUUUAUUGGAUUUCCAUCCCUAAUAGUUGGAGCUUAGAUAAAUUGGUUCUUCUAUGUAGAUGGAUGAGUUGUAGUGUUCGGGACAAUGCAUCGCCGAUAGUAGCUGUGGGAUUCUUCAUCAUGACUUUUAAGGUACUCUUUGCCAAUAUCUUUUGAUUAAAGGUUGUUUGAGAAUAUUGGAGAUAAUUCUGUGAUCAUGGCAAUGGCCCCAUGAAAAUUCUUUUUUCCUAGUACCUCAUAGCAAGUAGUGGUGCAGUUGAUUAGUUAUGAGUCCAUUACUGUCAAGUCCAAUCAGUAAGCUGGAACCAUGGUCUCAAAAGCUUUCAGGUGAACACAAAUGUAUUCUUCUGAAUACCUCAGUUCUUGGGAGUCAAGAAGCAGGCUCGGAAGUUAGAUUCACCUGAAUGUUUAGGUUUAGGUCGAUCUAAUGUGCAUUAGAUUAAUAAGGUGAGGAAAUGGACAGAAUAUGAAAAAUAUUCACUUGUAACAUCUCAUUUAAAUUUCAGUUAAAUGGAGGUAUUUCUUUCUCAA